rnacentral:rRNA from 1 species
AUCCUCAAGCUCGCCGCAAACUGCAAACACUGCAAAGCCAAAAAGUUUGAGUCUGAGACCGACGGGUUCUGCUGUUGUAAUGGCCAGAUCGAACUUACGCAACUGGAACAAAUCCCAGAGCUAAUGAGGCUAUGGUCCAGCAUGGAUGCAGAUUCUAGACAUUUUUGUGACAACAUAUGGUUCUUCAACGGGCAUUUUGCCUUCACAACCCUUGGCGUCAGCCUUGAUGAGAACUACACAAACAUGAAGUCUGGGGUGUACACAUUUAGGGCACACGGCACCAUCUACCACAAUGUGCAUUCUUUCAGGCCUAGCUCACGUCCAGAACAUCUGCAGUUGUACUUCUAUGAUGACAACCCAACCAUAACUCAUCGUAAGGCGGCCACCAAGCAAUUAGACCAGGAUGUCAUGACGAAGUUAGUACACAUACUUAAACAAAACUUGUACUCCCACCAAUUUAGGAGUUUGGGUGCACACAAGGACAACCUCGACGAUUAUAGGAUAGACCUAAACACUGAUAAGAGGCUUGACUAA